GAAGAGAUACAUCGGAUAAAACGUCAAGCUCAUAACUUGAAGAUCGUAGGUUCAACUCCUGCUCUCGCCACCA
rnacentral:tRNA from 1 species